ensembl:lncRNA
CAUACGGGCUUAGACACGUUUUUCUUGCCUGUGAACGUAUUUUUGUUUCUGAAGAGCCAGUUAAGCAUGGCAGAUGGAACAAAUGUGUUUUGUAGUCACUUCCUCUGAAAAUUGCAUUAAAAUGAUAAUAAAGGCAGAGAAAGGCUUAGACUCACGGGGCAGAAAGAACCGGGGAGGACACGAGUUACAAGCAACCACGUUUUGGAGGCUCUAAGUCAGAUAUCUCAUGGACACUGAUUUUGUGGAUGUGAGCCGGCCAAGGAAGAUAGCCAGACGCAGGCAGAGUUGAGCCACAGAUCUGAGGAAGCCUCAGAAAUUGGAGUUUCCAGCAACUUUCUGGAGGGAUAGGGAAUCCUGAGCAGGAGGUGAGAGUUCUCCGGUCUCAAGAGGCAAAGUGGAGAUCUUAGACGUGCUCGGGAGUGGGGCGCCAGCUCAGUUGAAGGCGGGGCCACAGUGCAAAUGAGGAAGCCAGCCCAAGUCAACAUACAGACCAUCCUGCAGGGCUCCUCUCCACCGAAGAUCGUCUAGGCCUCCUGCCUGUCACCUAGUGUUGUGUAAUAAAUGUUUAUUGAAUGAAGAUUUUAAGUGACAGAGAAGAUUGAGGGCAACUCUAGUCAAAUGGAUGCAACUGCCCUGAGCACUGCGCUGAAGAAGCUUCUGCAGCCUCUUCUCAGCUCAGAGGGAAGAUGGCCAGGGUCAGUGACUAGCAUCUGUAUGGAGGGGGGCUGGGGCGUGGUAGUUUGGGAGCCCCUUCUUGCCACCCCAGAUUCAGUCCCUCAUGGAUAUUUACAGCCAGCUUGGAAUCAUGGGCAUGGGUUAAAAGCGAAAGAAUAAAACUUCCAUUGUAGAAUAUCAGGUUCCAGCUAGGAAGGUCAUUUUUACAAGGUGGCAAGGGUAAGUAGUUGGGCUUCGGAGAUGGUGUGGUUGGCCAUUGGAGUUGGAGCAGUUGGGCAUGGAGGUGGUCUUAAACCACAUUGUCUUUCCAUGUCCAUUAAGGUUGAUUUUUCUUUUUAUAAAAUUUUUAACUGGAGGAUGAUUGCUUUACAAUGUUGUUGGUUUCUGCCAUACAUCAACAUGAAUCAGUC